rnacentral:rRNA from 1 species
UACGGAGGGUGCGAGCGUUAAUCGGAAUAACUGGGCGUAAAGGGCACGCAGGCGGGCUUUUAAGUCAGGUGUGAAAUCCCCGGGCUUAACCUGGGAAUUGCAUCGGAAACUGGUUGGCUAGAGUAUUGUAGAGGGAGGUAGAAUUCCAUGUGUAGCGGUGAAAUGCGUAGAGAUGUGGAGGAACACCGGUGGCGAAGGCGGCCCCCUGGACAGAGACUGACACUCAGGUGCGAAAGCGUGGGGAGCAAACAGG